UACGUAGGGUGCAAGCGUUGUCCGGAAUUAUUGGGCGUAAAGAGCUCGUAGGCGGUCUGUCGCGUCGGCUGUGAAAUCUCGGGGCUCAACCCCGAGCCUGCAGUCGAUACGGGCAGACUAGAGUGCUGUAGGGGAGACUGGAAUUCCUGGUGUAGCGGUGAAAUGCGCAGAUAUCAGGAGGAACACCGGUGGCGAAGGCGGGUCUCUGGGCAAUAACUGACGCUGAGGAGCGAAAGCGUGGGGAGCGAACAGG
rnacentral:rRNA from 1 species